rnacentral:lncRNA from 1 species
AGUUCCGUUUUGCGAUGUGGUUUCGUUCUUCUUUCGCUCUUUGUAAUAAAUCUUGCUACUGCUCACUGUUUGGGUCUACACUGCCUUUAUGAGCUGUGACACUCCCCAGGAAGGCCUGCAGCUUCACUCCUGAAACCAGCGGGACCACGAACCCAUCAGAAGGAAGAAACUCCAAACACAUCCCAAUAUCAGAAGGAACAAACUCCAGACACGCCGCUUUUAAGAACUGUAACACUCACCGCGAGGGUCUGCAGCUUCAUUGUUGAAGUCCGUGAGACUAAGAAUCCUCCAAUUCCGGGCACAGGAUUAUGCUGCAGUAACAAACAACCCAAGUCCCAGGAGCUUAAAACAAGAGUUUAUUUUUCACCAAAAUUAUCUAUUUAAUAAUGCAGGGUGGAGGAGGCAGAGAAGUACAAUCCACCCAGGAGCUUGGGAGGAAAGGAGAAUAGCCUCUGAAUCAUAGAAGACUCCAUGGCAGCUGCUUUUGUCUCCCUUUGUCACUGCCACGCCUCCUCUUCCUCCAUAAAUAGACAUUCCAGUGCUUUUGGUGUGUAUCCUCUUUAUUUGCAUGUGUUCUUGCAAAAUGUGUAGCGUUGUAUUAUGGACAUGUGCUUGUGAUGUAUGUAGAUCUAUUGCGCUGCAAGGCUUUUAGUCUAUUUUUCUCUUUUUUUUUUAAUUUAACACUUUUUAAUAUCCAUCCAUUUUGCUAAAUGUGAAUCUAGUCUUAUAACUGCUGCGCAUAUCACAUUUUACUUAUUUACUCUCUCAGUGAUGGGUAUCUAGAUCACAUCUUGCUGUCAUA